UCGGGCGAAGCCUUGAAGCCAAGCCCCGGUAAACGGCGGCGGUAACUAUAACCGUCCUAAGGUGACACGCCUGAAAAAGACAGUGUGCAGCUGUCUCAGGCAUUUCGUUGCCCCCCGCAUCGGUAACGGUGCGGUGCGCAUCUGGCCAAAUGCUGGAAAACCCGAGUAUCCCGCACUACUCGUAACGUCCGGUUGGACGCUUACAGUGACAAAGUGACGGGUGCGGAAAACCAGCAGGAAAGGCUGAUCGAGUUCCGUGGUUGGGUGAUCGGUUUUGUAGACGGAGAAGGAUGCUUCUCGAUCGGGCUCGUGCGGCAACCAAACCGCAAGGGCCGAAGAGGCUACAAGACCGGAUACCAGGUCUCGCAUGACUUCGUCGUGACACAGGGCGCUAGCAGCGUCCACUGUCUCGGGGAGCUACGCGAGUACUUCGGAGUGGGAAGGGUGUACGUCAACCGGCGGAACGAUAACCACCGGGAGAACCUUUACCGCUACUCCGUUCAUCGUCGGCAGGACCUGCUCGAGCGGAUUAUCCCGUUCUUUCGGGAAUAUCCGGCUGCGAUCAGCAAAGCGCGUCGACUUCGAGAAGUUCGCUUCUUGUGUCGAGCGGUGGCCGGCGGUCAGCACAAGGCGCCCGAGAAGGGCUUGCGCAGAUCGCUGAGAUCAUGCAGACGAUGAACCGGCGUAAACCCAGGCACGAACUGAUCAGAAUCCUCAGAGACCAUACGCCGGAUGCCCUGGACACAGGGUGAUGAGAUGGUCCCGACUGCAUGGCGACAUGCAGGGAGUCGCAUCAAAGGAAGUGCGAUUCCGUUCAGAGAUGUCUCAACAAGACAUGUCCGAAUAAGACUCCAGCGAAAUUCCUUGUCGGGUAAGUUCCGACCUGCACGAAUGGCGUAACGACUUGGGCACUGUCUCUUCGAGGGACCCGGUGAAACUGUAGUCUCGGUGAAGAUGCCGAGUACCCGUGGUUGGACGGAAAGACCCCGUGAA
rnacentral:rRNA from 1 species